GUAGGUGGCAAGCGUUGUCCGGAAUUAUUGGGCGUAAAGCGCGCGCAGGCGGUCCUUUAAGUCUGAUGUGAAAGCCCACGGCUCAACCGUGGAGGGUCAUUGGAAACUGGGGGACUUGAGUACAGAAGAGGAAAGCGGAAUUCCAAGUGUAGCGGUGAAAUGCGUAGAGAUUUGGAGGAACACCAGUGGCGGAGGCGGCUUUCUGGUCUGUAACUGACGCUGAGGCGCGAAAGCGUGGGGAGCAAACAGGGAUUAGAUACCCUGGUAGUCCACGCCGUAAACGAUGAGUGCUAAGUGUUAGGGGGUUUCCCGCCCCUUAGUGCUGCAGCUAACGCAUUAAGCACUCCGCCUGGGGAGUACGGCCGCAAGGCUG
rnacentral:rRNA from 1 species